ACUCUGCGUCUGACUAGAAUAUAUCUCGCACCUAAUUUGGGUUCGAAUGGUUCGAAAUGAUUUUUUGAAGGUUGUAAAAUAUACGUAUUUGACGCAGAAAAUACGCUUCAUAUGCAAACAUGUACUCCUCCACAUUUAUCGCGAUAACAUUUGGUGUUACCGUAAAGCAAAAUUCUACGUAGAACUGCUUCGAUAUUAAAGACUCUAUAAUGAGUUUUCUGUUCAAUCUUCUGAAGGGUGCCUUUUUGAGAAUGUUGCAGUUGAUUUGGUUCGGAAAACGAAAGAUAUCGAACUCGUUGAGUAUCUACGUGAAAACUAACACGGGAAAUACGCUCUCCAUUGAUUUGGAUCCGAAAUGGGACAUCAGAAACCUAAAAGAGAUCGUCGGGCCUCAGCUUGGCAUAUCUCCCGAAGAUAUCAAGAUCAUAUUUGCUGGUAAAGAGUUGCACAAUUCCACGAUAAUAGAGGAAUGCGAUCUUGGUCAGCAAAGUAUUUUGCAUGCCAUAAAAUUGCCACCCGGAAAAAAUCGCCUUAAUAGAAAAAAAGAUACUAAAAAUCUUAUCGAAGAAUCUAUAGAUGAAGGAUCGGAAGCAAAUGAAAGUGGAAGCAAACCUCUGAACGAAACUUUGAUCGACUUACCAUUGGAGGAUUCGGACCGUCAUGAAAAUCACAGCGAGCAGGAGCAGCAACAAGCCCGUGCCCAUUUUUACGUUUACUGUUCGCUGCCAUGUAAAUCAGUGGAAGCAGGAAAGCUGAGAGUGAGAUGCGCGACAUGUGGUAGCGGGGCUGUGACUGUGGAUCGAGACCCUCAGUGUUGGCCUGACGUGCAGCAGCCUCGUAGAAUAACUGUACAUUGUGAGAAUCACGAUUGUCAGACAUUACUGUCUUCCUUAGCACAGAAGGAUGAAGGUACUCCUCAAGUGAGAUACGCGCAGUUUUAUUUCAAGUGCGCCAAUCACGUGAGUCUUGGAGAAAAAGAUGAGGCGGUACCGCUUUAUUUGAUUAAACCAAAUCUGAGAAAUGUACCUUGUCUGGCUUGCACGGAUACAAGGGACACGGUACUGGUUUUCCCUUGCGAGGCUGGACAUGUAACCUGCCUGGACUGCUUCCGGGACUAUUGCGUGGCUCGUCUGCGGGAUCGUCAGUUUGAGUUUGACGACAACCACGGAUACUAUACCUUGCCAUGUCCGGCUGGUUGCCAAAAUUCGCACAUAUCCGAAGUUCAUCACUUCCGUCUUCUCUCACCUGAGCAGUAUGAGCAGUACCAACGAUUUGGAACUGAGGAAUACGUUCUAAGGGCAGGAGGACUUCUGUGCCCGAGGCCUGAUUGCGGAAUGGGAAUUAUUCCACCUGAUCAGACUGAUGAGGAGCGUAGUCGAUCCCCGGAUGAGGACGACUGUCGUAGAAUUCAAUGUAUUGGUGGUUGUGGGUAUGUUUUCUGUAGGCGAUGCUUGCAAGGUUUCCACGUAGGUGAAUGUGACUCACAACAGCCUACGACGUAUUCUUCUACCUCCGCCGUCUCCUGUCUUUCAGGCUAUGCAAUUGAUCCUCUGCGAGCUAGCGAGGCCAAGUGGGACGAAGCGAGUAAGAAGACCAUUCAAAUAUCGACGAAACCAUGUCCGAAAUGUAGAACACCGACUGAACGAGAUGGUGGCUGUAUGCACAUGGUUUGUACAAGAGCUGGCUGUAGUUUCCAGUGGUGCUGGGUUUGUCAGACGGAAUGGACGAGAGACUGUAUGGGAAGUCAUUGGUUCGGAUGAUGUUCUGAAACUAUUUAUAUCAGCAAUUGUUUAUGCUGUGAUGGGAUCAGGUUAAUGCAACUUCGAAAGCCAGAGUAAUUUUAAUCCAAAGUUGAGGAUUUUACGGUACGUACGACGCGAGCCAACGAGAGUGAGAGAGACCGCCAACAAAGCUUGUGUACUUGAGGGGCGCAUGUCUGUGUGUACGAAAAUGGCAGGAACUACCUUAAUGCUGUCCUGGGAGACGAUAAUCUUCUGUAAUCCUAUGCUAAUUACCUAUAAUUAUCCUAUUCGUAGCCGUAUCUUAUUUACAGGCGACAAGAAUUCGCCAGACAUUCUUUCAAAUGGACGGAUUUUGUUCCGACUUACGUAGGUAUUACUACCGACUUCAACUACCGUAAAAUUAUUGUAAUUUACGUGUGUGUGCCUCCUCAAUUGCAUUAUAACAGUAACAAUCAUCUCUUUACUAUCGUAUACUGUCGUCUCGGUUUUAUCGAUAACAAUUACGUUAACAUUUAUAAUGUGCGUAUUUGAAAAAUUUGAGGUAUAAUAUUACAGGAACAAGGGUGAAGUAAAACGUUUACGGUGUAGUCAAACAUUAAAGUUGAGAUUUGUUUGUGAGAGUGGGAGUGAUAGAAUUAAAAGUUUUUAGUCUUAGUUAUAUUUGACCGGAAUCAUACAGUAAACGCGCGCGUCUUCUACACAGUUUGAAUAUUUCACGUUAAAAAUGGAAACUAUCUUCUCCUGCAGCCUGCAGUGUUUUUUAAAAUAAGCAUCUACCUUCGAGCUCUAUAUUUGUCGCGCGAGCCUCGAUGAA
rnacentral:misc_RNA from 1 species